UACGAAGGGGGCUAGCGUUGCUCGGAAUCACUGGGCGUAAAGGGUGCGUAGGCGGGUUUUUAAGUCAGGGGUGAAAUCCUGGAGCUCAACUCCAGAACUGCCUUUGAUACUGAAGAUCUUGAGUCCGGGAGAGGUGAGUGGAACUGCGAGUGUAGAGGUGAAAUUCGUAGAUAUUCGCAAGAACACCAGUGGCGAAGGCGGCUCACUGGCCCGGUACUGACGCUGAUGCGCGAAAGCGUGGGUAGCAAACAGG
rnacentral:rRNA from 1 species